UUAGGUCUUAUUUGUAAAAUGAGAUGGCUGGACUAGACAGCCACAGCCUUGGGGUCCUCUCCGGUCCUAAAUCUACUACUGCUGACUUGGCUGCUUUAAACAAAGCAAACAAUGAGAAAUCAGCACAAAUGCUAGAAAAAUAAAUCACACCGUCAAUAAUAAGGACUCUUGUUCAAAUAGUUGGACAAUUCUUUCCCUAAAACUAAAAUGCUGUCGUGCUCCUUUAACUCAAACCUUUCCUUCUGCUGUGAUUCACAAAGUCUGGUGUGCUGGGAUAAAGAAAUUAGAAAUUAGUCAUCUGGUAGUCACUUUCACAUUUACAUAGUCCUUGCAUUUUAAAUAGUCCAGACUUUAAGCUUGUGCAAUGAAGUCUUUGCGGAUGUGUCUCUUCCUGGCCGACUCCCAGGCUUCCCUCUCUGGGGAUUUAUUUUGUUCAUGUUCCAAUUUGAGCCAAGCACUCAUUUUCUCCUCUGCCAUAACAUAAGCUCUUGGAGGAUGGGAACUUUAUUUGUGCAUUCUUAGUGUGUAGCGCAAUUCUAAAUAAAAGCUUACUGAUUCAUUUGGAGAACUGACCAGCCCUGGGAUCUGUAGCUUCGAAGACCAAGCACUCCUUGUAGUCUCGAGUGAUAGGGAUGGACUUCUGCCAUCUCUGAGCCAGGAGGGGGAUGGGAUACUCACUGCCUGGGAGGAAGGAGUAAAGAAGACAAGAAUCCUGGUCUAGGAUUUGCCAUUCAGUGGGGUUAAGGACUGAGUACCUAGAAAGGGUGGGUGCUCUUUAUUAUCAGAAGUGGUUAAAAAUAAAACCAAGGGAAAAGCCUUUGAAAACCACACUGAAAAUGCUCGAAUGGUACAUUUUAAGAAUUUUAGUUUCUUAGGCAGCAGCUAGGUGGUGCAGUGGAUGGGGAGGGGGUCAGGAGUCAAGAGACCCAAGUUCAGAUUUGGCUGACUCGAGAUCUUUGACCCCAGACAAGUCAUUUAGUUUCCUCAGCUGUAAAAUGGAGCUGACUUUUCUCAGGACAUGAGGAUCCAAUGAAAUAAUAUUAGAAAAAAUGCUUAAUACAUGCUGCCAUAUAAAUGUUAUUAUCGCUAUCACUAUCAGAGCUACCUCCCAGGGUGUACAUAUAAUAUUUGCCCUAGCAAUCAUAAUGUAAAUGUGAGCUCUUAUUAACACACAGGAGAACCACUUUCAGGCCUGAUUUAUUGGACUUGUCUGAAGUCUCAGGAUGAUGGGGAUGCAAGGGGACACUGAAUCAUCCUCUCAUAUUUCAGUGGAAUCAGUUUAUCCUUGUUUAGUCCUUUAUUAGUUUUCAUUCACGUUUCUUUUUUUUUUUUUAGAUCAUUCUCUUCAUUCCUGUUUGAACUUCAGUUUCUCUGCAGCUCUAAACUUUUCAUCAGAAAUUCUUUUUCAUUAAAGAUCCAUUUCGACCAUUGCAUUAUCCUCAGUUUUGGUGGGUAAAUUACUCUCCUAUGUACCCUUUGCCUUUUGGUAUAUUAUUAUUUCAAGUCCUCAUUCCUUUAAUAUAGUGACUAUUAAAUUGACUAUGGCGGAUAGUUUGCAGCAGUUAUCCCCUCCACAUUGUGAUUUUUGACAUAUUUUGUGUUGACUUAAGAAAUUAAAUGGGAAUUUUGGAGAAGUUUUGAGAAGCUGCAGAAGACACAGGCCAGGAGAUGACAUGGAAAAAGUUGCAUAAAAUACAAAUGCAUAAAAUUUAUACGCAUGAAAUGUGUAAAAUUUAUGCAAGGUAUUGUAUAGCAAAUUAAAUUUUACAAUAAGUAAUGUAAAAGAAAAAAAUUGAGACUGACACGCAACGUCAAGUUUUUAUACGGAUUUUCCAGAUUGAGGUGGCAGGGGUAGGAUGUGUAGGGGUGCCAUGUUCCUAAUCCCUGUGAUGUGGAAGGGAUAACUGUAUUCUUUGACCCUCCAAAAGACUGAGACUUUUUCUGGAUUUCCCUAUAGAUCAAAACUUGAAUCAGUUUUGAGAUCUACUGCUUUUAAGUUUCUGGAGGGGAGCCCACUGCACUGCUUUGUCUCCCACCAAUAUUAAGCUUUGGAAGGGAUUUAAAAGUAUUUAGAAGGGAAUUAAAAAUAUUUAAAUUAAAAGGGAAAUCUCAUUUUAUAGGGACAAACCAAAAAUACUAAAUAAAGCAAACCAACGGUCAGGCCAGAGAAUCCAACCUUAAGGUAGAAAUAGGAAAAUUGACAUGUUUUCCAGUACUCACUGUGUUAAAUCCUGAAAACAAUUGGGUUUUUCCAAGUGACUGCUAACACAAAAUAUGGAUUUUGUAAAACACUCGCCCCCCUCCCAAAAAAAAAAAAAAAAAACAAAAAACUACAGGUGUGGAGAAAAGACUUACAUCUCUGACACAUUCAACCCAAAGAGAAAGGUAAUGGAAGCAAUAGGACCGAGCAGCUUCUAAUGACUGAGUUCUAGACUUAAGCACUUGCUUUAGAAUUAUUAGAGCUUAUCAGCUUAACCUGAGGUCAAACUUCAGCUCAGUUUUCCAUCAGCUACAGACUCAACACAGGCAAUCAAUAUUAUUAGAAGAGAUCAUGAAAAAAUAGACUCGAUGAGCAGAGCAGCUCCUAAAAUAAAAAGCAGCAUCCCUUCCCAUCUACUCGUCUCAUUGUUUGGCUGUGUCUGUCUCUUUGUGGCCCCAUUUGGGGUUUUCUGGCACAGAUACUGCAGUGGUUUGCCGUUUCUUUCUCCCACUCCUUUUACAGAGGAGGCAAACAGGGUGGAGUGACCUGCCAGAGUCACAGAGCUAGUCCGUGUCUGAGACUGGAUUUGAACUCCCAAAAAAAGUCUUGCUGAUUUCAAGCCCAGCAUUCCAUCCACAGAUCUUAUGCCUAUUACCCACCUUUAUUUUAUUUGCUCUACCAUGAUUCAUCUAUAGAAAUACCUGUUAUCACUUUCAUACAAAGGAGCUUUAGGAACUGGGGGGAAACUGAAAUGACUUGCAGACCAAGCACUGUUGGAUGAAAACCAAGAAGGGCUCUUAGUUUGGAAAAUGACAAAGGUCCUACUGCAAGUAGUUAUAGGAAACCACUUUCCCUUGACCUUAGCCCAUCCACCUGCCCUUUAUCAAUAGGCUAGUAAAGGUCUUUUCCACUUACAUAUGUUUGCCACAAUUCCUUGAACCCUACCCCAGUCUGACUUCUGUAGCCAUGACUGAGGCCCUCUGGAAGAACAGCCAUUGGGCUCUACAGGUCAUAUUGAACAGUCCCAUUUCAACGCUCAUCCUCCUUGACUCCCCUUGGCAACGGCAUUGAGGAAGCUUCCUUUCCUUUCUCUGCUUCUGAUUCUGACUCUCCAGGUUUUCUUCGGGCCUUCUCCUCCAGGUCCAACCCUGGCAGUGACUCAAGGCAGUCAUGAGGACCAGAUGAGCUAUCUGAAAGGAGCUCAGCAGACAUGGCUCUAGCCAGAUUGACCUUUGGGGUCUCAUCUGCUGCCUCACAUGGCUUUUGUGACUAGAACUCUGAGCAGCACCCCCCAAAUCUCCAUCUCAAGUCCUGAAUUCCGAUUACCUUCCCAGAGCUCAAAUGCAAGCUGUCCAAACCCAUUUAUUCUCCCCUUAAUAAUUGCUCUUGUUCUGGCUCUUCUGGGUCCCUGUGACUUGAGGACAGACUCCUGAUGCUUCAAGAAUGAUCCUGGAUUCUCUACUUUAAAUUCCACAACAUUAUUCCCACCAACAAGACUUCCGCAAAGCCUCAUUAGUAUCUGUCCACAUCAUGCAUUUGACAAAUUGAUUAAAACAAGAUUCAUCUGUAAAAAAUAUCAAUGGCACCCACAGGGAAAAGCGAGCCUAUGUGCCCCUUUGAUCGUGGCUUACGGGUGACAUGAUACAAGACAGAGCCACUACAGACAACCCUGACAAGCCUGCGAAGACCGCGCCUAAAGGUAGCUGAAUCCAGGGCCAAUCCACUGGACAGACAUCAUUCAGGUCCACAAGCACACACCCUUCCUUUGAACAAGUAGCAAAUGCUAAGACUUGAAGGUGGCCCAGGACAGCAAAUGUAGUCACUCUUUUUUAAAGCGACUUUAAGUGAACCGAGUAUGUCUGCUUCGUGAAACCAAAAUGCAUCAAUCAAAUAAGCUCUGCAUGAAGAUAGCUUGGAACUUAAAAAAAAAAAAAAAGAUUUAAACGCAAAUUUAUAAUAAUAGCUUGCACUUAUAUGAGUUUAAGAUUUACAAAGGUUUUACUACCAUAUUAUCUCAUAACAACAUGGGUUUAGUUAUUGUUUUCUCUACAUUCUCAGCCUAGCACAGUUCUGAUCUUCACAACUACCUUGGGAGGGAUGUGCUAUUUUGAUCUCCAUUUUAUUGAUUAGGAAACUGAGGCAGGAUCUAAAUGCAGGUCUUCCUGACUCUGCGUCCACCACCAUCUACUGUGACAUCGGAUGCCAGAUUAUGCAUUAAAACCCAAACUACUGUUUUGAACUUAUUGUGCAGGUACGAUACAAUGCACGGUUUUACCAACAAGCAUUUAUUUUCCUUACAAGAAUCAAUAAUUAGAACGACUCAAGGGAUAACUAAACCAGAAUUAUUUAUUGAUAAAAUGCUCAAGGGAUACAAAACAAGCCUGAAUAACAAGGAUUCUCAAUGUUUACCUCCGGAGGUGGAGGACUCACUGAGACAUCAUGGGCUAACAAAACAAAUUGCAGUCAUGUAAAAAGAAUUGAACAGUGUUUUUCAGUUCAGUAUUUUAAAAUGAUAGCCUCUCCUGAGAACUAUUUUUACUUAAAUGUACACGGGGUUUAGUUUUAUUUGUUACUUUGCAUAUAUAAAUUUUUACUUUGUUCUAAUAUAGGUUAUAAAGACUAAUGUAAUUCAAAUAAUUGACCUUGAAUAUAAAACAUGUUGAAAUGUCGUGGAAAAGUUGGUAAAAAAUGUAUAUAAUAUAAUUAUUCAUUAAAGACUAAAUAAAAUAUUUUUCUUAAAUCUAUUAAUACACAGCAUGUGACCACUUCACCUCCCAAAACCGUACUAGAGCUCAAAUAGCUAGAGUGAACACAGGCAUGUUUUGAAGGAUUACGCCGUUAUUAAAAAGUUUGCAAUAAAUAGUUCCUCACCUGUUCCUUGAGGCUCAUUACUUUUGACCCAACAGCAGCCUCUCUCUCAUGGCUUUGCCGCUCGAUGGCCCCGGGGUGCCCCCCCCCCACUCGGAUCCUCAGAUGGGCCCCUUUAAAACCCCUGAGCCUCCGCCAAUAAGAGGGAAGAGCAGGGAGGUCCGGGCCAGUAUAUACGAGAGCAAAAGUGGCUUUAGGAACUGAAGGGAAACUGAAAUGACUUGCAGACCAAGAACUGUUUGGGUGAAAAGGAAUUGGAUAGCAAGGUAGCAAACAAUCGCUCCCAGCCAUCCAAGGCGAACGAGACCAGACUGGGAAGGGGAUUUUCUUUUUCCCAGGGUUCAGCUGCAGGAGGACAAGGCUGGCGGCACAAGUACUACAAAAGCUGCUUGCUUAGGUUGGUCUUCAAAAUAGCUCUUUUAUAAAAGAAUGAAAAAAGUGUAUUCAAAAUAACUGGUGCCAGCUUCUACAGACAAGACAUGCUUUUUGUCUUUAAAAAAAGCUUUUUCCUAUUAACCUUUGUCCUUCUCUGACAAUCUCCCCUCAUUUAUGACGGAAAUACUGUUUUUGUUUUCUGUCUCAAAGUAUAAGCAAUGAUGCUGUCCUAUUUCAAAAAAUACAUGCUUUUUGGAUCUUGCUAUAAAAAAAACUGUUUAGAAAAUUUUUUUUCUUUUCUUUUUUUUUUUUUU